CUUCCAUGAUCUGCGGGCAGAUCAGAUGCACGUGACAGUCGAUGGCGCCCGCGGUGAGGAUCAGUCCGUUGCCCGCGAUCACUUCGGUGGCCGGGCCGACAACGAGGUCGGUGCUCACCCCCGGCAUGAUGUCGGGGUUGCCGGCCUUGCCGAUGCCCGUGAUCCGACCGCCGCGAAUCGCGAUGUCGGCCUUGAUGAUUCCCCAGUGGUCGACGAUGGUCGCACCGGUGAUCACGGUAUCGGGCGAGCCUUCGGCCCGAAUGGUCUUGCCUUGCCCCAUCGACUCGCGGAG
rnacentral:sRNA from 1 species